rnacentral:tRNA from 1 species
GGCCCGUUCGUCUAGUGGUUAGGACACAUGGUUCUCAACCAUGUAAGAGGGGUUCGACUCCCCUACGGGCUA